CAGCCGCCGCGGGAAUACGGAGGGAGCUAGCGUUGUUCGGAAUUACUGGGCGUAAAGCGCACGUAGGCGGUUAUUCAAGUCAGAGGUGAAAGCCCGGGGCUCAACCCCGGAACUGCCUUUGAAACUAGAUGACUGGAAUCUUGGAGAGGUCAGUGGAAUUCCGAGUGUAGAGGUGAAAUUCGUAGAUAUUCGGAAGAACACCAGUGGCGAAGGCGACUGACUGGACAAGUAUUGACGCUGAGGUGCGAAAGCGUGGGGAGCAAACAGGAUUAGAUACCCGCGUAGUCCCUGUCUCUUAUAC
rnacentral:rRNA from 1 species